rnacentral:rRNA from 1 species
CAAUAGCGUAUAUUAAAGUUGUUGCAGUUAAAAAGCUCGUAGUUGGACUUCCGGUCGCUUGGGGCGGUCCGCCGAGAGGUGAGCACUGCUCUGGGUGACCUUCCUCUCGAGGACCGUGUGUGUCCUUAACUGGGUGUGCACGGGACUCGGGACCUUUACUUUGAGAAAAUUAGAGUGUUCAAAGCAGGCUUACGCUUGAAUACUUCAGCAUGGAAUAAUAGAAUAGGACUUUGGUUCUAUUUUGUUGGUUUCUAGGACCGAAGUAAUGAUUAAUAGGGAUAGUUGGGGGCAUUAGUAUUUAAUUGUCAGAGGUGAAAUUCUUGGAUUUAUGAAAGACUAACUUCUGCGAAAGCAUUUGCCAAGGAUGUUUUCAUUGA